GAUGAACGCUGGCGGCGUGCCUAAUACAUGCAAGUCGAGCGAACAGACGUGUAGCUUGCUCCUCUGACGUUAGCAACGGACGGGUGAGUAACCCGUGGAUAACCUACCUAUAAGACUGGGAUAACUUCGGGAAACCGGAGCUAAUACCAGAUAAUAUAUUGAACCGCAUGGUUCAAUAGUGACAGACGGUUUUGCUGUCACUUAUAGAUGGAUCCGAGCCGCAUUCGCUAGUUGGUAAGGUAACGGCUUACCAAGGCAACGAUGCAUAGCCGACCUGAGAGGUUGACAGGCGACAGUGGAACUGAGACAUGGGCCAGACUCCUACGGGGAGCAGCAGUAGGGAAUUUUCCGCAAUGGGAGAGAGCCUGACGGAGCAACGCCGCGUGGGUGAUGAAGGUAUUCGGAUCGUGAAACUCUGUUAUUAGGGAAGAACAAAUGUGUAAGUAAGUAUAGACGUCAUGACGGUAUCUAAUCAGAAAGCAACGGCUAACUCCGUG
rnacentral:rRNA from 1 species